ACUUUGGAGAUGUUGGCACAGUGC
rnacentral:piRNA from 1 species